rnacentral:lncRNA from 1 species
AGGUCAAAGGGGACGCAGUGGGGGAUGAAGAGCAGAGCUCUGAAUUCCAACUGACCUUCCACAGAGAAAUGCUUUACUGCCAAGUGAUCUUCCCAAUCAUUGAUGUAAGAUAACCUUGAUACCCCUGCCAAUAGGCUCACCAUGGUCAGCAGAGACUGUGAAAGAGCCAACAGCAGAAGUCUCCCAGACAUAUUAUUCAUCAUCAUUGUGCUUAGUGAUCACAACAACUUUCUCUUCUACUAGUCUCCUUUGCUGGCUUUUAGAAAAUCUGUAUCAUAACUCUUCACAGUGGAUAUACCCCAAUGUCUGUCACCGGCCGUCUUCCUUCUGCAUUCUCUCACUUGACACCACCAUGAAUAGUUCCACCUACAACUGUUAUGACUUCACCUUGGACCUGUUACAACAUAACUUACUCAAUAUAACAAAAAUAAAGAUAAAUAUUCAAACA